GACGAACGCUGGCGGCGUGCUUAACACAUGCAAGUCGAGCGGCGCGGCGAACGGGUGAGUAACGCGUGAGUAACUGCCCCCCUCUCUGGGAUAACAGUUGGAAACGGCUGCUAAUACCGGCUAGUGGGGGCUGACUCGCGUCCUAUCCGCGUGUUGGUGGGGUAGUGGCCUACCAAGGCGACGACGGGUAGCCGACCUGAGCAGGCGACCGGCCACAAUGGGCUAAGGUACGGCCCAAACUCCUACGGGAGGCAGCAGUGGGGAAUAUUACACAGUGGGGGAAACCCUGAUGCAGCAACGCCGCGUGCGGGAUGACGGCCUUCGAGUUGUAAACCGCUUUCAGCCAUGACGCGGUAUUGACAGAAGAAGCACCGGCUAACUACGUGCCAGCAGCCGCGGUAAUAC
rnacentral:rRNA from 1 species